rnacentral:ncRNA from 10 species
UGUGCUAUACUAGUAAGGUUGAAUGAAUCAACCCUUGGUGCUUAGCUUCUUUCACCAAGCAUAUUACACGCGGAUAACCGCCAAAGGAGAAAAGAUG